AUACCAUCUGAUGAUAUAAGGGUUAACAGACAUCUGUUGAAGUUUACUAAGAAGAAUGUGUGGCUGCACUGUGUUAAAGGCGGAGCUGAAGUCAACAAACAGUAAUCGGUUGGUUGGUCACUAGGCCUCACAUCUGAUUGGUUGACAGGUGAGGCUCAGAAGUUAAGAAAUACUGUUGCAACAUCUCAGCUGGCAGAACUGCUGACCGAUGCACCAACAGGUAAGUUUGCUCUCCUCUUAUUGUGACUUGACUGCGUUGCUGAAUGCUUGGUUCAGUUUACAUUAAUUCUCUUUAAAUUGUCUUCAUGCAGACAUGACUGAAAAAAAAAGAUUUGAGAGCGCUGAAAAAGGUGAAGCUCCUGAAAUGGAAGUCUGACCCCCAGUCUUACAGCCCUCCACCCAAGCUGAAAUUCAGCAAACCCUUCUGGCCUCCUGUACACAGCACAGGGAAAAUAGGAAAAAGAGAGCUGGCUGAGCGGGCCAAGGCCAGGAAGCAAUUUAAGGCCCUAAUCUGCCAAAACAAAGCUUCACCGUGGGACAACAUCCCACCACACAUACGUCCGGGGUGCAACAUGGACAUAAUUGUCAUUGAGCAUUUUCUACACAAUAAAAAGAUUUAUUGCCGCGCCACAUCUGGGGUCACCCUCGACCAGUGGAUGCGGCGGCAUGUACCAAAGACUACCAGGUGGAGGUGGGGAAUGGAAAAGGCAAACACCUUACCACCUGGUCAGGCACAGGUGAAAAGGCAGAGGAAGGAGAGGACCUGCACGCAAUGUGGCCAGCGGUGGAUUAGACGGACAGGCCACAGUUUUCACCGGCGAGGCCACUGACCCACAGAACAGGACUGUGGAGCAGUGGCUCACUGAGGUCAGGGGAGGGGUGACCUCAAAAGGAGUUCCACAGAAAAAGGAUGAAAAAAAUACUACUACUACUCUGCCAAGAGGGAGGAGGAGAAGAAGAAAAAGGCAAAGGAGGAGAAGCAGAGGAAGAGGGAGCAGAGGGAGGAGAAGAGGAAGAGGGAGCAGAGGGAGGAGAAGAAGAGGAAGAGGGAGCAGAGGGAGGAGAAGGAGAGGAAGAAGGGGAAAAAAUAAAAACAAACAUGUUUUGGUGUUAAUUUAAAAUGUUUGUGUUAAAGUUUAAGUUUUGGUGUUAAUUUUGGUGUUUGUACUUAAAGUUUUGCAUGUCAUUGUUUUGUGUUAAUGUUGCGUGAGUAAUAAAAAGCAU